rnacentral:tRNA from 1 species
GGUUGUAUAGUGUAGUGGUUAUCACUCCAGAUUUUGACUUGCUAGUCAAAAAGCUUUCUGGUAACCCCGGUUCGAACCCGGGUACGACCU